rnacentral:rRNA from 1 species
GGAGGGUGCAAGCGUUGUUCGGAAUUAUUGGGCGUAAAGAGCGUGUAGGCGGUUCGGUAAGUCAGAUGUGAAAGCCCUGGGCUCAACCCAGGAAGUGCAUUUGAAACUACCAGACUUGAGUACGGGAGAGGAGGGGGGAAUUCCCGGUGUAGAGGUGAAAUUCGUAGAUAUCGGGAGGAAUACCAGUGGCGAAGGCGCCCUCUGGACCGAUACUGACGCUGAGACGCGAAAGCGUGGGGAGCAAACAGGAUUAGAUACCCUGGUAGUCCACGCCGUAAACGAUGAGCACUAGGUGUAGCGGGUAUUGACCCCCCUGCUGUGCCCGUAGCUAACGCAUUAAGUGCUCCGCCUGGGGACUACGGUCGCAAGACUA